AAAGAAAGGCAAAACCUAAUUCUCAAUCCACGCCUUUCACAUACUCUUGCGUGCUCCAUCCCCCUCUCUCUUACUCUUCGCGCCAACGCCGUCGCCGACGCCGGCGCCGGUUCCCCUCCCUCGUUCUGCCAGUUACUCCUGCUCGCGCCACCACUAUCACCUUCCUCCUAUCUCUCUACUGAUUUAGUUUCUUGUUUGCCAUCGAAAUGGCAAAGGAGGAAUUUAGGGUUUACAAUUCGAUGACGCAGCAGAAGGAAGUCUUCACCACGAAGGAGCCUGGUAAGGUUGGCAUGUACGUCUGUGGCAUCACGGCCUAUGAUUUCAGCCAUAUUGGUCAUGCCCGUGCCGCCGUAAACUUUGAUGUGCUUUACAGAUACCUUAAGCACUUGGGAUAUGAAGUUACUUAUGUGCGGAAUUUUACUGAUGUUGAUGACAAGAUAAUUCGGCGGGCAAAUGAGAGUGGGGAGAAUCCUUUUGCCUUAAGUGAUCGCUUUUGCCAAGAAUAUCUGUCUGACAUGGCUGAUCUUCAGUGCCUUUCUCCAACACACCAACCUCGUGUGUCAGAUCACUUGGAGCAAAUCAAGGAUAUGAUAACUCAGAUUAUAAAGAAUGGAUAUGGCUAUGCAGUUGAUGGAGACGUGUUCUUUUCUGUGGACAAAUUUCCAAAUUAUGGACAACUGUCAGGGCAAAAGCUUGAAAAUCAUAGGGCAGGAGAACGGGUUGCUGUCGAUUCAAGGAAGAAUAAUCCUGCUGACUUUGCAUUGUGGAAGGCUGCAAAACCUGGUGAGCCAAGUUGGGAAAGUCCGUGGGGUCCUGGAAGACCUGGAUGGCAUAUAGAAUGCAGUGCCAUGAGUGCUCAUUAUCUCACGUUUAAGUUUGAUAUUCAUGGAGGUGGCAUUGAUUUGAUCUUUCCGCAUCAUGAAAAUGAGGUUGCACAAAGCUGUGCUGCCUGCCAAGAGAGUAAAAUCAGUUAUUGGAUGCACAAUGGGCAUGUUACCAAUAAUAACGAAAAGAUGUCCAAAUCAUUGGGUAAUUUUUUCACCAUUCGCCAGAUUACGGAAAGAUAUCAUCCAUUAGUUUUGAGACACUUCUUAAUAAGUGCUCAUUAUCGUUCUCCUCUCAACUACACUGUCUCUCAGUUGGAUAGUGCAUCAGAUACAGUUUAUUAUAUAUACCAGACUAUGCAAGAUUGCGAAGAUGCUUUAUCACAACAUCAAGGGAAAACCUGAGUGACGGUUUGGGAAAAACAGGCAAAAAAGAUCCUGUUAGCUCUGCUGCUGAAGAAUGCAUCAUUAAUCUACGGUCUGAAUUUCAAACUAGAAUGGCAGAUGACUUGAACACAGCACAUAUAUUAACUGGCGCCUUCCAGGAAGCUCUGAAGUUUAUAAAUAGUACCUUAACCUCACUCAAGAAGAAGCAACCAAAGAAACAACAACUUUCGAUGAUUCAGUCCCUUGUCAAUGUGAAGAAGGAAUUGAGAGAAGUUCUAGAUGUUCUUGAUUGCUCUCCACAUCUACUUACUCUGAAGUUUUGCAGCAGCUGAAAGAUAAAGCACUGAAGAGAGCAGGGAUGGUGGAAGAUGAUAUACUGCAUUUGAUUGAAGAAAGAACACAAGCAAGAAAAGACAAGAAUUUUGGGAAAAGUGACAAUAUCCGAGCCAAACUAUCUUCCUUAGGCAUAGCUCUCAUGGACGUUGGCAGAGAGACCAUUUGGAGGCCAUGUGUUCCUGUAGAACCGGCGGUGCUGGUUCCUCCAGCGAACAGAAGGCGACUCAAGCAGAGCAAAAGCCAAUGGAGCAGCAAGUUGCUCAGCCACCAGCAGGUGAACAGCAAACAGUUGACAAUGCUCAGACAAACGAGGCAGAAAAGAAGGCAACCGUGCCUGCCAUCUGAUGUUUGUAUCUUCUUCGUUUGUUGAGGUGAACCUAAACAUUUUGGAAGAGUGUGUAGCCUACAUACAUAUGUAGCUUUAUUUAUACGUAAUUUAACUUAUAGGUUUAGUCACUGAAAAUUAAUCCCAUCUAACUCCCUGUUAUUUGAGAAUUUUCAUUUGAAAUAAUUAUGAGCCAAGAAGAAAUUGAUAGUUCAAUUUUUGUCAGUCUUUUCCCCAAGUAUUAUGUCAAACACAUGAAAGAAUUUUAGUUUUCAUACAAAGAAGAUAGUGAAGGAUACUUUUAAGAA